rnacentral:rRNA from 1 species
CACGUAGGCGGAUUGUUAAGUCGGGGGUGAAAUCCUGGAGCUCAACUUCAGAAUUGCCUUCGAUACUGGCUUUCUAGAGGCUGGAAGAGGUUAGUGGAAUUCCCAGUGUAGAGGUGAAAUUCGUAGAUAUUGGGAAGAACACCAGUGGCGAAGGCGGCUAACUGGUCCAGAUCUGACGCUGAGGUGCGAAAGCGUGGGGAGCAAACA